GAUUACACAGAUGAGAACAGGUGGGCUGCACUACAUUUCAUUAUGAAACAAUGCACAACACCAAUUUAGUGCUGUUGUUGACAGUGUCUUUGAACAGGACAAGCCCAACACAAAGGAACAGCACGUCUGAAAGCCAGCGGACAAACACAGGUCGCCUGCACCCAGCGGCUCACCUCUUCUCCCUUUGCUUCUGCAAACUAUUCAGAACUCAUCUCCUUCCUCUUCAAUCUCCCUGCCUCCCCUCUGAUGUCACCUUUUAGUCAAGGAGGUCCUGAAGCUCUGCCAGUGGAGCAUGGAAUUGCGGCUGUACAUCACAGCUGUCAGCAAUGUCUUUUGCCAGAAAUCUACAUUAUGUGUACCCGUGGCCCUGCCUCCAUGUCAACUCACAAGGUCGCUAAGCACUGAGGUCACAUCUGCCACAAAUGCUAAUGAACCCCACCCCGACCUCGAGCUGUCAGCAAACACGAGCAGGUGUUUUAUUUUCAUAUUGCUGUCAACACUCUGGUGGACAAAUUCAUACAUUAAUGAUACCCAGAUUAAUUUUAUUGGAAGGCUUUCAACCAAAAAAUAUCAGUAGUCUCAGCGAUGUGGAUGGAUGAGUACCCAAGAUACACUGUCUGUCUGCACUUUGACUCAGUGUCAUGAUGAGCUGAAUAUAUCAAAUCUGCAUAUCCGAUGGCGCUUAAUAUGUGUUGUCAGCAAAUCUCAAUGCACACGCUCACAUACAAGAACGUACUCUUGAGCUGCUCUCCAGCUGCAAUAGUCGGGCUUCAAUAAGACCAGGGAGUGGUGCUGUGUAAACAGAAACUACUUUGAUGUAUAACUCAAGGCCAAACAUCACAGGACAAGACUAAUAAAAUAAAUAAAGCUCUAUUAAUGAUGAUUGCUGCCCUCCUUAUGCAAAUAGACAACUGCAGAAGAAAUAUUAAUCAACCUCGUGAAUCAUUUAUUCCUCCUCAUCAAAAAUAAAGGCAUGCUUGCCAGGAUCUCCUGCCCUGAACUAAAACUCUUCAACUUUAACAGAUUGGACUGCAGCCUUGAGCUAAUAAGUGUUUUAACCUUAAGUGUCAUAUCCAUUUGUAAAAACAUUUUAUAUGAUCAAUACAUAUUUUUUAUUUUCCCUAAUUAUCUGAUUCUAUUAAAUAUGAAAAUCCCCUUUGAUAGAUAAAAGGUCGAGGCGAAUCCUGGAAAACAAGGAAGUGUGAGCACAUUCAGCCAAGUCUUUUCUUUCAAACAACAUGUGAGCAAUAAAAGCUUAUCACUUUCAAAGUGGACCAUGAUAUUCCUGCUGCGGAGUUUGACUCAAGUGCUACUUAUCUGGAAACUUGCCCAAAUGGAAACUUGACUAAAUGGAGUCUCAUUUCUGUCAAAAUGAGACUCAGGCGAGAGUGAAAUGAUGGUGUCUCGCUUUGGACUGAUGAAGAUGCCUAUCAGCGAUAAAUGCGACAUGUUUCCAAAAUGACUUUGCUUCAGGGAAGAUAAGAGGAGAAAUAACGGGUUGAGAUUUCUUUGAAAUUUCUGCAGAUAAUUUAGAAUAAAUUGGCAAUCCUAUCUCCAUGAUUUCCCCUGGCAGAAAUUUCUGUCUGAAAUGUCAGUUUAAAAGCUGACAAUAAUCGACAAUUGCCGUAUGGUCCUAUUUUAUAUUUUAGUCAGACCUCAGUUACAAUCACAUCCUGAUUAAUUUUCAUCCCAACACUUUUACGAGAGCCACCAAUGCUGAAUUCAACAUGUGUUCAAUGUGAUCCAUAACAAAACCCUUACAACAAACAACACCUGAUGUAAAAGGUUUGCCGUGCAUUAUGUGUACAUGUAGUAAGUGUGAAUUUUGUUCCCCUUAUAUAUGGAGCCAAAUAAAAGAAACGAUUAUUAUAUUUUGUUAUUUAUUGUACCUUAAAUAAUGUAAUCCAAUACAAAAAUACCAAAUUUCAACCUCAAAGGUUACAGUAGAGCUGAAUUAACUUGUAAGUGAAAGAUUGCAUGCUGCUGUUACCCAAUUCAAAUAUUAAGUUUCCUAUGGCAGAUAAUAAUUACUGCACACUGAAUUAAAUUAGAUUGUCCAAGACUUUCUACCUUCCUACACAUUCAUGUAAUUGCAAACCACCGUUAUAAAACAUAUACCAUGAAAUGUAAAAUACAUUUAUUGUGGAAAUGUCUGCGAUAAUAUAAAGACUGUCAGUCAGCAGAAUUUUUGGACUAUAGCUGCAAAGGUAACUGGAUUUACUAUUUUAUCCUUAAAAGCAUUUUCCCAUUGAUUGCUGACUGCAAUCUUAUUCGAAACAUAAAUGUAUACAUCAAGUAACAAAGUUAACAUCCACACACAUCCAGCCACACACCCAUCUGGAAUCAACUUACUUUUCUCCCUGCAGCUUGUUGGUUUUUACAAUGAGGUCCUGAGUUUGCUCUUUGGCAGCCUGUUAAGGAGAAGUUAUCACAUUUUUAAAAGAUGGUUUUCAAACAAUAUAUUUUCAAAAUAAACUCUAUAAAUCAUCCAACUCAAAUGAUACACCUCCUAUUUGAUUCAAGUGUUUGAUGCAACCCUCGACUGAAUACUCGGCAUGGCUCAAGUAAUCCAUUGCAGGAUAAUUUUCCAACGAUACGUGCAGCUGAAUUCUUUACCUUUAAUCUACUGGUCAUUUCUUCACAACAUGUACUCAUUGCCUGGACAUCUUCAUGAACACUUUCAAGCUCCUGUGGAGAAUGUAAAACACAGUUACAACAGCAGUGAUGCAAAUGUAUUCCUGUCUAAACAAACAAAAUCAACAAGAGGUGUAGCAGCCAGUCUUAAUCUUGUGUGUGUUUGUAGAUUUGAUAUAAUAUUAAUAAUAAUAAUGACUAUGUUUAUGAAUAAUAAUGGCAUCGCAUGUAACUGGAACUUUGUCAUGAAUGAACAUGUGGUUGUAGUACACUAUUAAUGUUCAAAUAAAUAUUCACAGUCUGCUCGAA